rnacentral:SRP_RNA from 1 species
GCCGGGUGUGGUGGUGCACGCCUGUAGUCCCAGCUACUUGAGAGGCUGAGGUGAGAGGAUGACUUGAGCCCAGGAGAUCCAGGCUGCAGUGAGCUGACAUAGCGCCACUGCACACUGCAUUCCAGCCUGGGCAACAGAGGAAGAUCUUGUCUUUA